GUUUUGAUUUUUUUUUUUUAGGAUUGUGUCUCUUUGAUUGAGGUGAUUUUAUACCACAUUCAUUCACCAUCUGAUGGGCAGAAGCCUUCUCUUACAUGAGUUCUUUCAGGAAUCAGCUGUACUUUGAAGGAGAUGUAAAGAAUCUGUGAAUCAUAGAGAUGGGUUGGGCUGCUACAGCACUCUAAUGUCAAUUUGCUUUUCUCAUCCCAUUAACUAAUAAUUUACAUGUGAAAUUCUUGUUGCAGUGGCCCUGCUCCAGGAGUUCUCCUGUCUGGAUUGGUAAAGAGCUUCCCUGAGUUUCCAUCACUGCUCAAAGUGCGCAAGUCACAGAAUUGAAUUUCUUGCCACCUUUUUUCAUUCAAUGCCUGAGCUGGAGCCUUUGGACAAAGCAGCUGCACGGUCUGGCCUUGGUACCUGAGGGCUCCUUGAGUGCCUCCUUCUUGGGGAACAGGGGUUUGGUGAUUUUCCUUGUCAGAAAGCCUGUCUGUGCAAGAAAUUCUCUGCUUGUCUGAAAGGCAGGGAAAGGGCAGCACUGAUGUCUCCUCUCCCUUCCAUCCCUUGUAGGUCAACAGGAACAGCUUCAAAUCCCAAUUCUUACUACUGCCUCUGCAAGCUGAGAGUAAGAAGUCCUCUCUCCAGGGAAAUUGCAGGUAAGGCUGGAGCUGCUGGGAGAGGCUGAGCUGAGGAGAGCCUUGUCUGCACAGGGAUGUGAGGCACAUCAACACAAAGCAGCAGGAUAUACAAGCAGCUAAGAAUGUCCACUGUUGAGAAAAGGGCAUUUGGACCCCACGUGGAAGAAUACAAGAGAGAGUGGCAGACUAAGAAUGAGAAUCCUGCUGUUAAGGGAAAUUGAUAUUGGCACUGACACCUUCACAAAAUGCUACCAAGGAUAAAAAUGAACCAUCAACAUCACAGCUGUGGGAAGGUGUAAGUAGAACUGGCUGUCAGGUUGACAUGUAAAUAUGUAUAUUCCUGUAUCACUGUGAUGCCAAAUGUUUGAAGGAAAAAUUGUUAUUGCUACUGAGAAUAUCCUUCUCAACCUCUUUACACAAGUAAUAAAAAUACUGCAAAAGCUAUGCUGGCCCAUUUCCUGGAAAUGCCAAUUUCUGUUUGUUGGUAGAGGCAGGCAAGAGAGCUUCUGACAAAUAUCUAAGUACAACAUGUUCAGCAGAGGCUUUCACCUGCCUCUGACUUGCAGGCUGAGAAGUGCAAAUCAUGUGUGACAUGUCUAGGGAGGAGGAAAUCAACCACCAGUCAUCAGCUGAUAAAGCCACAGAAGAAGAUGUUUACUCCCAUUUUGGUUUCUUUGGUUACUGGUUUAUUUUUUUUUUUAGUAUGAGAUUUACUACUUUUGUAACAACGUUUGCUUAAUAAACCAAUUUGCUUUUUUGCUGCA